GGAGGAAAAGAAACCAACAGGGAUUGCCUCAGUAACGGCGAGUGAAGCGGCAAAAGCUCAAAUUUUAAAGCUGGCACCUCCGGUGUCCGCGUUGUAAUUUUGUGAGGCAUCUCCGGGUAGGGCGCCGGCCUAAGUUCCUUGGAACAGGACGUCAUAGAGGGUGAGAAUCCCGUGCUUGGCUGGCUGUCCCCGUCCAUGUGAGGUGUCUUCGACGAGUCGAGUUGUUUGGGAAUGCAGCUCAAAAUGGGUGGUAAAUUUCAUCUAAAGCUAAAUAUUGGUGGGAGACCGAUAGCGCACAAGUAGAGUGAUCGAAAGAUGAAAAGCACUUUGAAAAUAGAGUUAAAAAGUACGUGAAAUUGUUGAAAGGGAAGCGCUUGAGACCAGACUUCGGUGGGGAGUGAUCAGCUGUCCUUCUGGGCGGUGCACUUGCUCCCCUCCGGGCCAGCAUCGGUUGGGACGGCGGGAUAAAGGUCCUGGGAAUGUGGCUCCUUUCGGGGAGUGUUAUAGCCCGGGAUGGAAUGCCGCCAGCUCCGACCGAGGACCGCGCCUUCGGGCUAGGAUGCUUGGCAUAAUGGUCUUCAGCGACCCG
rnacentral:rRNA from 1 species